GGGCGAGACGCCGCCCUUAUCGUCUCCCUCAGCCGUAGCUCUCUGCCCUCUCCCUCACUCCCUCUCGCUCUCUCCUACUCUCUCUCUCGCCUGUUCGGCCGACCACCAUGGAGUGGUACCAGCAGCGCCGCCCGAGCCACCCCGACGACCUCCUCGCCCACCUAUUGUUUGGAUCCGACCGAGAGCAGUGCUAGGAUCUUCCCCACCUCCUCAUAUACAUGCCUCACCAGCCGGAGCUCCCACGUGUGCCAUCUUCUUCCUCCUCUCCGGCAGCCACCCGACCAUGCUCGACGACCCCUCCAUCGACCCGCCUCCUCGGCCUGUCGCUGACCCAGCAGACCAUGUCCUGAGCUUACCCUUGUCGAGGUAAUGAUGAGUUAGUCUAUGGUUACUUCAUGCCCACCAAUGUUGAUGAUGCGCAAGAGUAGUGGUGUACUACUCGGGGUGUUCCGGUGGCACCUUAGGGCAAAUGGCACCACCUCUUUUGAUGUUUUUAGUUGAUAUUCCGAUGUGUAGUAAUGAUCAUGUGCUAGGUUAUAAACAUGUUGUAUUUUUCUUAGCCUAGCACUUAAAUCGUUGUAUGUUGAGAGCUCAAACUUGUUGUUGGGCUCUGGUCUCUUAAAUUUCAGCAAGUAAUACUUUUAAAUUGUGGAACUUGUAAGCACAUUAAAGACUUGUAAUAUGUUUAAUCUACUUGCUCUUUACUAUAUCUUGAUAUGAUGAGGCUUGUUGUAUUGGUAUGUGUUCUGAUCUUGGGCAUAAACAUAUAUCGGGACUACCGGGAUUGCAUUCUCAUUAAUCAUUUCUAUUUGCAAUUGUGGCCUUGAGAUCUGGGUUAGCACGUGGCACGUCAGAAGAUGAUGUGCUAGUUCUCAUCUUAUUGGAUGAAUUACCGAUUUGAUUAAUUCAAAUACAAUUUGGACGGUUGCCCAUAAGUAUGCUUAUGUCCAUCUGCAUCAAUUGUAGAGUUUCCAAAGUUGGGUUAAGGUGGUAUGUUGGGAAGUGACUCAUGUAUGUCUAUGAUGAGAUGAGCAAGUUCUUAUGUUGGUGAGAAUGAUCUAGUAUAUGGCUACUUCAUGGCCGCUGAUAUCAGUGAUGAGCAAGAGUAGUGGUGUGCUAUUCAUGGAGACUCGGUGGUGCCUUAGGGCAAAUGGCACCACUUCUUUUGCUAUUUAUAGAUGUUGUUCUGCUGCGUAGUAAUGUUAAUGUGCUAGGAUACAAACUUGUUGUAUUUUGUUCUUCCAAAGAUUGUUGAUGUUAUGUUGAAAGCCCGAACUUGUUAAAUGGCUCUCAUCCUUUAAUUUUAGCAAGUAGUACAUUAAACUAUUGAAUUUGUAAUGCCUUAAAGACUUGUAAUAUAUUUACACUACUCCCUCUUUA